GAUAAACGCUAGCGGCAGGCUUAACACAUGCAAGUCGAGGGGCAGCAUAGAUUGUAGCAAUACAAUUGGUGGCGACCGGCGCACGGGCGCGUAACGCGUAUGCAACCUACCCGUCACAGGGGGAUAAUCCGGAGAAAUCUGGUCUAAUACCCCAUAACAUAUGGAUCGGCAUCGGUUCAUGUUGAAAUUUUCGGAGGUGACGGAUGGGCAUGCGUAGCAUUAGCUUGUUGGUGAGGUAACGGCUCACCAAGGCGACGAUGCUUAGGGGGACUGAGAGGUUUUCCCCCCACACUGGUACUGAGACACGGACCAGACUCCUACGGGAGGCAGCAGUGAGGAAUAUUGGUCAAUGGGCGCAAGCCUGAACCAGCCAUGCCGCGUGCAGGAUGACGGCUCUAUGAGUUGUAAACUGCUUUUGUACGAGGGUAAAGUGGGUUGCGUGUAACCUUUUGAAAGUAUCGUACGAAUAAGGAUCGGCUAACUCCGUGCCAGCCGCCGCGGUAA
rnacentral:rRNA from 1 species